UACGUAGGGGGCAAGCGUUGUCCGGAUUUAUUGGGCGUAAAGAGCGUGUAGGCGGCCUGAAAGGUCAGCUGUGAAAACUCGAGGCUCAACCUCGAGACGUCGGUUGAAACCAUCUGGCUAGAGUCCGGAAGAGGAGUGUGGAAUUCCCGGUGUAGCGGUGAAAUGCGCAGAUAUCAGGAGGAACACCGGUGGCGAAGGCGGUUCUCUGGGCCUUACCUGACGCUGAGGAGCGAAAGCGUGGGGAGCGAACAGG
rnacentral:rRNA from 1 species